rnacentral:rRNA from 2 species
UGGAUCCAGACUUUGAUCCUGGCUCAGGAUGAACGCUAGCUACAGGCUUAACACAUGCAAGUCGAGGGGCAGCAUGAUUGAAGCUUGCUUCAAUUGAUGGCGACCGGCGCACGGGUGAGUAACACGUAUCCAACCUUCCGUACACUCAGGGAUAGCCUUUCGAAAGAAAGAUUAAUACCUGAUGGUAUCUUAAGCACACAUGUAAUUAAGAUUAAAGAUUUAUCGGUGUACGAUGGGGAUGCGUUCCAUUAGGUAGUAGGCGGGGUAACGGCCCACCUAGCCUACGAUGGAUAGGGGUUCUGAGAGGAAGGUCCCCCACAUUGGAACUGAGACACGGUCCAAACUCCUGCGGGAGGCAGCAGUGAGGAAUAUUGGUCAAUGGACGAGAGUCUGAACCAGCCAAGUAGCGUGAAGGAUGAAGGUCCUACGGAUUGUAAACUUCUUUUAUAAGGGAAUAAAACCUCCCACGUGUGGGAGCUUGUAUGUACCUUAUGAAUAAGCAUCGGCUAACUCCGUGCCAGCAGCCGCGGUAAUACGGAGGAUGCGAGCGUUAUCCGGAUUUAUUGGGUUUAAAGGGAGCGCAGACGGGUCGUUAAGUCAGCUGUGAAAGUUUGGGGCUCAACCUUAAAAUUGCAGUUGAUACUGGCGUCCUUGAGUGCGGUUGAGGUGUGCGGAAUUCGUGGUGUAGCGGUGAAAUGCUUAGAUAUCACGAAGAACUCCGAUUGCGAAGGCAGCACACUAAGCCGUAACUGACGUUCAUGCUCGAAAGUGUGGGUAUCAAACAGGAUUAGAUACCCUGGUAGUCCACACGGUAAACGAUGGAUACUCGCUGUUGGCGAUAUACGGUCAGCGGCUUAGCGAAAGCGUUAAGUAUCCCACCUGAGGAGUACGCCGGCAACGGUGCAACUCAAAGGAAUUGACGGA